rnacentral:misc_RNA from 1 species
GAUGAAGAACGCAGCGAAAUGCGAUAAGUAAUGUGAAUUGCAGAAUUCCGUGAAUCAUCGAAUCUUUGAACGCACAUUGCGCCCUCUGGUAUUCCGGGGGGCAUGCCUGUCCGAGCGUCAUUGCAACCCUCAAGCGCGGCUUGUGUGUUGGGCCUCCGUCCUCCUCCCGGGGGACGGGCCCGAAAGGCAGCGGCGGCACCGCGUCCGGUCCUCGAGCGUAUGGGGCUUCGUCACCCGCUCUUGUAGGCCCGGCCGGCGCUUGCCGACACAUCAAUCUUUUUUCCAGGUUGACCUCGGAUCAGGUAGGGAUACCCGCUGAACUUAAGCAUAUCAAUAAGCGGAGGA